GUUGCAAUGCCACUUUCAUUUCAAACAACUCCCCAUUUUCUCUUUUCUCCACAUCACAUUCAUCCAACGUUGAUUCUAUCGAUUCUUGCAUAAGCUUAAAGAACCCAGCGUUGUUCCUGUACAUCUCGAACACCAUACCAACUUGGCCACCGUGCUCGAAGGUGUUCACAGCUGAAGCUAAAGCUCCUGCAACAGCCGCCACUGUGGCCGCCCAAGGGCUGUUGGAAGAAACCAUGAAAGCCGAUCCUAGAGCUGCUAUUCCAGUUAGCAAUGGCCCUGAUGUAGCUAAAACUUUGUUCAUGUUCAAAGCCUUGUUGCCUAAUCUCUCGUAAUCUUCACUGUCUUUUCUCUUUAUUACUUCAACCACUUCUCUCAUUUCCAUUUCCAAUUCCCUGGUCCACCCAUUGUUGUUCGUCAAUGCUUUGUUUGAGUUUGGAGACUGUUUUGUAGGCCACCAAACAGCAGGCUCUAAACUUGCAGGGAAUUUUUCAAGCAUAACACCAAGCAAAGGAAGAGGGUAAGCUUUGUCAAGUGCCAACACUUUCUCCAUAGCAUCAUUCACGUCAUCUUGGCAUGGAGAACCAACAGCAAGUAGGGUUUUGAUUUGGGAUUGCAGCUGCUUAAACAAUCUCGUGGCAUUACGUUGCUCUUCCACAAGCUGUGAGGGUUGAAUCUUAUUCAUCAAUACCAACAUCCCAGUGGCUGCUGAGAACAUCACACUGGAUGCCAACUUCAAACCCAUAGCAGAAACCCCAGCGCCAACGCCAGUUGCGGCGGCGACACCUGCCAUGGUUGCGGCGGUGAGGGUAAUCAUAUUGAUGGAGUUGAGUAGAAGGGUGUUCCAGUUAUCUCGUUGUUCCCCAAUGUUGUUAUGCAUCUCCACUCUGUCAGCUAUGGCCUCUAAGAUGGCAUACAGUUGAAAGGUAGCCAUUGAAACAGAUGAGGUUUGUUGAACCAAUGGUGUGCUAUGGACAUUGUUUUGGAUUGGGAUUGUGUUGAUGAACCCGUCUUUACUAUUCAAUUGCUCGGACUGUGUUUUGGGUUGUCGUAAUUUAGGGGCUGAAAAUCUUACCGAUGGGAGCUUUGGGAUGGAUAUAGCAGCACGGAUUUGGUUUGAAGCNNNNNNNNNNNNNNNNNNNNNNNNNNNNNNNNNNNNNNNNNNNNNNNNNNNNNNNNNNNNNNNNNNNNNNNNNNNNNNNNNNNNNNNNNNNNNNNNNNNNUGAGAGGAGAAAAUUAUUAGAAGCAUGUAAAGAAGCCAUAUGUAUAUAUAUAUAUAUAUAUAUAUGUAUGUAUGUAUAUAUAUGAAAAAAAGAGAGGAAAUAUAGAAAUUUGGUGGGUUGAUUGGAGGCUUUGAGCAAAGGAAAUUAAAGAAGAGAUUUAGAGAUGAAAGGUGAAAUGGGGGCGUAUUUAUAGCAAGCAAUGAGGGAUAGCUGAUUUGGUCUGCUAAUUUGACUGUCUGAUUGAAUUGACCAAUCUUUGUUACAUUAGCUGACCUAUUAAAAGGUUGUCUCGUUCAAUGUUAUAUCAAAAAUAAAAGGAAAAACUAACAUCCAGUCCUUAAAUUCAACAAUUUUUUUAAUUUUAGUCCUUUAGUCUAUAUUAAUCUCAUAAUUUACCAACUUUUUCCGUUUUGAUUCAUGUGAUAAUAUGACAUCCUAAUUGCAACAUCAUCACCUAAAAAUUAUAUUUUUAUAAAAGAAUUUUGAUGAUGGCGUGGUACAAUCUUAGAGUUUAGAGACCAAAUUGAGAAAAAUUAAAAAAUUUAAGAACUAAAUAUUGCCUUAUCUCAAAAUAAAAAUAAAAAAGGGCUCAAUAUAACAUCAGAUACCUAAACUUGACACUUUUUCUUAAUUUGGUACAUGAACUUGGCUUUUUUUUCCCUAAUUUGGUACCUAAACUUAUUAAAUGUUAUAAAAAUUAUGCAAAACACUAACGGUGUUAAAAUUUUUUUGUUAUGCUACCAAAAUAUUAUAAGUAUUAGAGGAAAUUCAUGUUAAAAAAUUUCGGUUUUAAGCUAUGCUUAACAAAUUAAUAUUAAAUAAGAAGAAAAGAGCUUUAAAAACCCAAAUUAAAAGAAAUUCAUUAUUUUCAAUUAGUAAAAUAAUUAAAUAAAUAAANNNNNNNNNNNNNNNNNNNNNNNNNNNNNNNNNNNNNNNNNNNNNNNNNNNNNNNNNNNNNNNNNNNNNNNNNNNNNNNNNNNNNNNNNNNNNNNNNNNNNNNNNNNNNNNNNNNNNNNNNNNNNNNNNNNNNNNNNNNNNNNNNNNNNNNNNNNNNNNNNNNNNNNNNNNNNAUAUGAAUUUCCUUUGUAGACAAAUCCUAAAAUAAUAAUUUAUUGAAUUAGUAAAAUUUAUAUGAUGAUGUAAUGUUGAAUAUAUGAAAUUCCUUUGUAGAAAACCCUAAAAUUAAUUAAAUUAAUUCACUAAUGAACACAACAAAGAACAAAGCAAGAAAAUAAACGAUUAACAACUAAGAAGCGAAACAAUGUCCAAGAAAGAAUUUACCUAGACUUCAUUUGUCACUAUCAAUCUAAAUUACGUAAUUCUUUUACUUAGUAUUUUGAUCCGUAGAAAUCUCUAAAUUAUGCUAAUAUCUGUUUCGAGAGGAAGAGCAAUUGACUCUAGGUUGAUUAAUUGAAAUUUAUUUCUAAUUAACACCCCUAUUAUCGCAUUAACUUAUGCUAUGGAUUUUCCUAAUAGAUUUGACUCUAACCUAAUCUAGUAGAUUUAUUUCGUCCUAUUUCUAAGAUUGCAUGCAAGUCCACUCAAUUACGCAUGAUCUACUCUUAAACAGGGUUUAUUCCUUCUCUGAUUUAAGCACAUCAAACAUGGAUCAAUAGUCUAUAAAUAAUAAACCAAGAAUUAAGCACACAUAAUUGAGAACAAGAAACUAAAUAUUUAUUGCAUGAAAUAAAAAUUAAAAAACAGAAUUCAUCAUAGGAUUCAUCUCGUUAGGUAUUUAGAAAAUUAGUUCAUACUUGAAAAUAAAAACAUCUAGAGACAACAGUAUAAUCACAAGAAACAAAGAAACUCAUGAUGGCUUCCUAAGAAAUCAAAUGCGAAUCUUCAAUAUUGAUGGAAAUAUGCUUCAGAAUCGGCUUCAAUGGUGUUUUUCAAGUUGUUUUCUUAAAUAUUCUAGGAUGACUCUCUCCUAUCUUCUUAUUUUUCGUCACAUAUACAUAUUAGAAUGUUCGAAAAACCUAAAAAUCAUGCUUUUUCGUUGUUCAUAGUGCAAAUUCGCACAAUCGACACAACCUGCCACAUGGUUUUUAAAAAAUAUUGUUAGUAUUAGACGAAAUUCAUGCAAAAUUUUUUGAUAUUGAGCUAUGCUUAACAUUUUGAUAUUAAAUAAGAAAAAAAGAGCUUUAAAAACCCAAAUUAAAAGAAAUUCAUUAUUUUUAAUUAAUAAAAUAAUUAAAUAAAUAAAACUAAAAGUAAUUAAACAUAUACAAUACAAAAAAAAAAGAUCAUGUCAUCUAUACAAAUAACAUUGUUAGUAUAUUUGAAUAAUUUGUGAAAACGUUUGACAAGUUGAAACACAAAAAAAAAAGUUUAAAUAUAUGAAUUUCCUUUGUAGACAAAACGUAAAAUACUAAUUUAUUGAAUUAGUAAAAUUUAUUUGAUGAUGUAGUGUUGAAUAUAUGAAUUUCCUCUGUAGACAAAGCCUAAAAUACUAAUUUAAAUUUUCGUUUUUUUAGUGUUAGAUUUUAUAAAAGAAUGUUGACUUUUUUUGUCACCUUUGCUCGAUUUGAAUAUAGUAUCUCAAAAUCCUGAGAAAUUCAACUUGUAAUAUUGAGGUUGAAGCUAUUAAUUUCCUUUUUACUUAUUCAGAAAAGAUAAAAACCAAAAUAAUAAUUUAUAUAUUUUUUGGGUUUAAUGCAUAAUUUGGUACCUGAGUUUGAUAUUGUUUAGUAUUUAAUUCGAGUUUUAGAGUUAAUUUGAUGAAAAUUCAUAUUUAGAUAAUUAGUUUUCACUCAAUCAACCCUAAAAUCAGAAUUAAAUCACAUCCAUAAAUGAAAAAUUAAAAAAAUUCACAAUUGACACUGAUUUAAUUCUAUAAACAAAAUCACGAAAAAUUCAAACUUAAUAAUAUUAGAAAUUAACUUUCAUAAAAUCAACUCUAAAAUCCGAAUUAAACACUAAAGUUUCAUAUCUCUUAGUAUAAUUUAGAAAAAUCAUAUGCACUCUUAAUUUUUCAAACAAUCUUUUUCAUAUAAAACAUGUUUUGACUUUUUGGGUUUUUUUUUUAAACAUAGUUGAAAGCAAAAAUUCUUAUAUUUAUAAAUUGUUUAUUCAUUAAGAAAUAUUCUGAGUCUCAACUUGUUUAAUAAAAUAUAUUCAAUUUGGUGUUUUAAAAAUAGAUUUAUUGUCACUUAAGUUUUCCACCUUUGGAUUGGUGGCUCGGUCUUAAUUCUAAUUAAAUAAUAAAAUUAUAUAAAUAUUAAUAUAAAAAUAUCCAAAAAAUGUGAAAAAACUUAUCUGUAAGUCAUUUUCUGUAAAAUAAGAAUCGUCAGUAAUGUUGUUACGAAAGAGCCAAGACAAAAUGACGGUUGGUCCCUAAAGACCGGAGGCGGUUGUCUGGUUUGAAGGUUUUAUUACUCGUUUUUGGCGUUGAAUGUCAAUUGCUAAGACUCAGCACAACAGUUGGGUGACAUCCCAAUACCAUCAAACAUGAGUCGUCUAAUUUGUACGCCAACACACCAAUGUUGUUCAAUUGUAGUUCAUGUUUCAAAGAUUUACACCUUUUCCUUGCCUCUCAAACCCAAUUCAGUGUGAAGGUACACUCUUUCAAAUUCAAAUUCUAUAAUGGCAUCUAACAUCGUUUUAAAUGGUCAAUGAAAAAGAGAGAAGGCGGGGGUGAUGAAAUCUAAAUAAUUGAAAUUUAAAAUGAGAAAAAUAAAAACCAUAAACAUAGAAUCAAUUCCAAAGGAUAUGGUAAAUGAGAUACGUUGAUUUGUAUGCAUGAACCAUGAAAUUUCUAUUUCUGUUCAUGAUUCAACCUGUCUUGUGUACAUCAUCAUCUUCCAAAAUUGUACAAACAUAUGUAUAUCAUUGGUUAAUUGAAUGAAUGAAAGAAUCUAUACGUCAAAGAAUAUUGGAUCAAAACAGCUUGCUUGCAAAUUCAUCCAUGGGGCUUCCUUCUAUACGAGAAUAGCUUGAUUUUUUGGCUACAUCUCUCAGUUCUGAUAAGCUUCUUCCCAGUUGCAAUGCCACUUUCAUUUCAAACAACUCCCCAUUUUCUCUUUUCUCUACAUCACAUUCAUCCAACGUUGAUUCUAUCGAUUCUUGCAUAAGCUUAAAGAACCCAGCGUUGUUCCUGUACAUCUCGAACACCAUACCAACUUGGCCACCGUGCUCGAAGGUGUUCACAGCUGAAGCUAAAGCUCCUGCAACAGCCGCUACAGUUGCCGCCCAAGGGCUGUUGGAAGAAACCAUGAAAGCCGAUCCUAGAGCUGCUAUUCCAGUUAGCAAUGGCCCUGAUGUAGCUAAAACUUUGUUCAUGAUCAAAGCCUUGUUGCCUAAUCUCUCGUAAUCUUCACUGUCUUUUCUCUUUAUUACUUCAACCACUUCUCUCAUUUCCAUUUCCAAUUCCCUGGUCCACCCAUUGUUGUUCGUCAAUGCUUUGUUUGAGUUUGGAGACUGUUUUGUAGGCCACCAAACAGCAGGCUCUAAACUUGCAGGGAAUUUUUCAAGCAUAACACCAAGCAAAGGAAGAGGGUAAGCUUUGUCAAGUGCCAACACUUUCUCCAUAGCAUCAUUCACGUCAUCUUGGCAUGGAGAACCAACAGCAAGUAGGGCUUUGAUUUGGGAUUGCAGCUGCUUAAACAAUCUCGUGGCAUUACGUUGCUCUUCCACAAGCUGUGAGGGUUGAAUCUUAUUCAUCAAUACCAACAUCCCAGUGGCUGCUGAGAACAUCACACUGGAUGCCAAAUUCAAACCCAUAACAGAAACCCCGGCGCCAACGCCAGUUGCGGCGGCAACACCUGCCAUGGUUGCGGCGGUGAGGGUAAUCAUAUUGAUGGAGUUGAGUAGAAGGGUGUUCCAGUUUUCUCGUUGUUCCCCAAUGUUGUUAUGCAUCUCCACUCUGUCAGCUAUGGCCUCUAAGAUGGCAUACAGUUGAAAGGUAGCCAUUGAAACAGAUGAGGUUUGUUGAACCAAUGGUGUGCUAUGGACAUUGUUUUGGAUUGGGAUUGUGUUGAUGAACCCGUCUUUACUAUUCAAUUCAUCGGACUGUGUUUUGGUUUGUCGUAAUUUAGGGGCUGAAAAUCUUACCGAUGGGAG
rnacentral:lncRNA from 1 species